rnacentral:tRNA from 22 species
GCUCUAGUAGCUUAUC